rnacentral:rRNA from 1 species
AGUUUGAUCAUUGCUCAGUUUGAACGCUGGCGACGGGCCUAACACACACAAGUCGAGCGGUAGGCCAGAGAGCUUUGCUCUCGGGUGACGAGCGGCGGACGGGUGAGUAAUGUCUGGGAAACUGCCUGAUGGAGGGGGAUAACUACGGAAACGGUAGCUAAUACCGCAUAACGUCGCAAGACCAAAGCAGGGGACCUUCGGGCCUCAUGCCAUCAGAUGUGCCCAGAUGGGAUUAGCUAGUAGGUGGGGUAACGGCUCACCUAGGCGACGAUCCCUAGCUGGUCUGAGAGGAUGACCAGCCACACUGGAACUGAGACACGGUCCAGACUCCUACGGGAGGCAGCAGUGGGGAAUAUUGCACAAUGGGCGCAAGCCUGAUGCAGCCAUGCCGCGUGUGUGAAGAAGGCCUUCGGGUUGUAAAGCACUUUCAGCGGGGAGGAAGGCGAUAAGGUUAAUAACCUUGUCGAUUGACGUUACCCGCAGAAGAAGCACCGGCUAACUCCGUGCCAGCAGCCGCGGUAAUACGGAGGGUGCAAGCGUUAAUCGGAAUUACUGGGCGUAAAGCGCACGCAGGCGGUCUGUCAAGUCGGAUGUGAAAUCCCCGGGCUCAACCUGGGAACUGCAUUCGAAACUGGCAGGCUAGAGUCUGGUAGAGGGGGGUGGAAUUCCAGGUGUAGCGGUGAAAUGCGUAGAGAUCUGGAGGAA